GUAAGGAAUAUUGGACAAUGGGCGCAAGCCUGAUCCAGCCAUGCCGCGUGCAGGAAGACGCAUCUAUGGUGUGUAAACUGCUUUUGUACGGGAAGAAACACUCCCUCGUGAGGGAGCUUGACGGUACCGUAAGAAUAAGGAUCGGCUAACUCCGUGCCAGCAGCCGCGGUAAUACGGAGGAUCCAAGCGUUAUCCGGAAUCAUUGGGUUUAAAGGGUCCGUAGGCGGUUUAAUAAGUCAGUGGUGAAAGCCCAUCGCUCAACGAUGGAACGGCCAUUGAUACUGUUAGACUUGAAUUACAAGGAAGUAACUAGAAUAUGUAGUGUAGCGGUGAAAUGCUUAGAUAUUACAUGGAAUACCAAUUGCGAAGGCAGGUUACUACUUGUGGAUUGACGCUGAUGGACGAAAGCGUGGGGAGCGAACAGGAUUAGAUACCCUGGUAGUCC
rnacentral:rRNA from 1 species